rnacentral:rRNA from 1 species
CGGGCACAGAGGGAAGCCAGGUGGCGACACCGCGCGGAACCCGAAAGCCGUUCUCAGUUCGGAUCGGAGUCUGCAACCCGACUCCGUGAAGCUGGAUUCGCUAGUAAUCGCGCAUCAGCCAUGGCGCGGUGAAUACGUUCCCGGGCCUUGUACACACCGCCCGUCAAGCCAUGGGAGCCGGGGGUGCUUGAAGUGCGUCGCCGCAAGGCGCGCCCUAGAGCAAAACCGGUGACUGGGGCUAAGUCGUAACAAGGUAUC